UAUUCUUGAUUUCAGUGUUCAUCAUAGUGUGAGUAACAAUCAUCUUGCCAUCUAUGAUUUGUCCUAUAUUUGGCUUGGAUUUAUAGGAUUUCUGAUUGUUAUAACCAUCGGCUUGGCUGUCAGUUUUGUUACAGGUAAAGAUAAAGAAUUUCCCACGGACCCGAAGUACAUCAUACCUUUUCUACGACGUGUGUGGUCAUUUGAUGAUUCAACUUUACAUGAACAGCCAAGAACUGAAUACUGUUUAGUUUCAACUGACGAAGAAAUGAAAGUGAUUGUUCCCAAGACGAAAACAUAAUAGAACCAAUUAAAUGAAUUAAUUAAAAACAUGUGAGUGAAAUAACAUGACUGAGAUUUUAAGAAAAAAUAAUAAUCUUAUACGCUUACUUAUGUCAAAGGCGACAUUUUGUACCAUUCGAACGUCUAUAACUAGUUUGAAAUAAACAAUGAUAUACUGUU